CAUACAGAAAGGAGCAGGAGAAUCACUAUAAAUCACUAUAGUCACUAUAGUGUGAUAUUUUUUUACUAAGCAUUCAUGCACAUAUUUUUGAAAACUGAGAAAAGAAAAAGAAACCAUCACAUCUACAAAAUGUUAUUCAUGUUUAUUCACUUUCUUAUUGUAGGUUAAUUAACCUUCUUGAAAGUAAACAGAAGAAAAAAAAGAAGAAAACUUGAGCGAUUAAAAGCUAUUUAUGCAUAAAAUAUUAAAGUUAUAAGUGAUAUCCCCUUCACUAAGGAUUUUAGCUGCUAUUUUCUCCUAUUUUUUUAGCUUUAUUCUGCUUUUCUAAAUAAUGGGAUAUGUUUUACAAACUAUGAAUUUGUGUGAAAUCUUGUUUGACUGGCUGAGUGGGUUACCUGUUCACAUCGCAGUUCUGCUGUUUUCUCAGCUGUAGCCUCUCUGGGUCUCCAUGCAGCAGGUCACUAAAUAUUUCAUUUCCCAAGCAAAACACGCUUCCCCAGCGAAGGAAAGUAGUGCAAAACAGAUCAGUGAUGAAUGUGCAAUCAGGCUGAUUAACUCAUUAUUAGUUGUCCGAAAGAUUCACGGACGGAAAUGAGGACAAGAGCAAAAGAGGUUGUUUAUAUGUGCAGGCAGAGUUAAAUGUGAUGUGAGGACGGGGCCUCUGUGAACUCUUACCUCUGCGUUGAUGAUUUGAAGUUGAAAUAUGGAGUUCAUUUUCUUUUUUUUUCAAAUUAAACCCAAGUAGAUGAAUAAAUAUAGACUAAAUAUGAGUGUUGGUCUGGAUCUUCACUCGUGUUCUCCACUCAACUGUCAGCAGAUGGUGCUGGAGUGUCUUCACAGCCAAACUCCAGUGAGCCAGACACCAUAUGCUCUCCGGCCUCCCACCACACUUUUAAAAAGGGGAAAAAAACGAGCCUAACUUAGUUCCUGAGUUGAGGCUAAUGUUUGUUGAAAUAAGUAGAGAUUUCCUGUUUUUCUUUUUUUCCUUUUUUUCCAGAAAAAAGAAAAAAAGUUUCUUUUUUUCAGGAUGAGCUCAGGCUGUUGUACAGCUGCCUUCAGUUGCUCUUUUUCCCCCCUUCUUUCAGUGAGACCAGACAAUGUUUUGUAUUGCAGCAGUUGCAGGAACAAACCUGUGAGUUCUUCUUGCUCUGAUUGUUGAGCCAAACAUCCCAGCUAGUGCGGAUUGUGGGAGGCACAACGGACGUAGCUGGUGGCCGGGCGUGAGCGUGCGCCGGGAGAAGGGGAUUCCAGCACCAAACCCAAUUAAUGCAGGCUAGAUAACUAGGCGUGCUGAGGGAGUGGGAGGAUAUCAGGAAGAGGAGAGGAGGGAUCUGGUCAAGGAUGCUGCUGCAGCCCACAGUCAGAGAUGUGGCCCAGAAGUGUGGAGCGAGAAGUGGAACCAUCCUCCCAAAUCGACUGAUAUGGCCCAGAAGAAGGACGGAGUUGAUUGCAGCCGACAAGUUCACAACAAUCUGGCAUUUCCUGUGGAAGCGGCGGUGUGCAAAAUGGGAAACACCUUUAUUUCUGUAGUUAUUUGUUUAUUGUUAAAGAAAAUAAUUAGAAAUUCAAUAAUUAAUAUAUACAGUAUAUAUAUAAUUUUGUCAAUUGGUAAGUAAAUAACCUAUAAAAUAGAUGCAUAAUAAGUGUUAAAAAGUGUUCAUCAACAUUAACAAUAUAUUGAAUGUGAUGAUACAUGUAUUAUUUUAAAAAACUUACUAAAACAAUGCCUUAUCUGGAAAUUACUCCUCUAUUUUGCCUCAAUUCAUACGUUUGAGUUCUGAUUAGGGGCGGAGCUAAAACACUUUGUAUGGGGGGGUAGAAUACAUUGGAAAUGUGGCCAAUAAGAACAGUGUAUUGGAAUGAAUGAAAGGAUGAAAACAGGUAUUUCUAACAGUUUCAUUAUUUUUAUUAAUAUUAAAACAUCAGUUUUGGCAGUUGAGACAUUGUUAUAUUGUUAUUUUUGCAUGGCUUAAAAAAAAGCUUUUUAUUAGUGAUUUUGUCAUUUUUCUCAAUAAUCAUAAAAAAUAUUAACUCAAAAAUUAGGUUGCCAGCUGCCCCUCAUUGUUACCCCGUAGCCCCGCCCUGGUUUUGACACACUUUUGGAUCCCUGCGGACUUUGGGACGUCACCUGUCCCAAAGUGGGACUCGUAUUGAUAAAAAACAAAACAAAAAAA